GUGGCGAAGGCGGUGCUCUGGGGUGUACCGGACGCUGAGAGACGGAAGCUAGGGGAGCGAACAGGAUGAGAGACCCUGGUAGUCCUAGCCCUAGACGAUGGAUGCUAGAUGUGGGGUCGAGAAGACUCUGUGUCGCAGUUAACGCGCUAAGCAUCCCGCCUGGGGAUUACGGCCGCAAGGCUAAAACUCAAACGAAUUGACGGGGCCCCGCACAAGCAGCGGAGCGUGUGGUUUAAUUCGAUGCUACACGAAGAACCUUACCUGGGUUUGACAUGUAGGUGGUAGAGAAGCGAAAGCGGAUCGACCCUUCGGGGAGCCUACACAGGUGCUGCAUGGCUGUCGUCAGCUCGUGCCGUGAGGUGUCGGGUUAAGUCCCGUAACGAGCGCAACCCUUGCCCUUAGUUACAAGUGUCUAAGGGGACUGCCGGCGGUAAGCCGGAGGAAGGUGGGGAUGACGUCAAGUCAGCAUGGCCCUUAUAUCCAGGGCUACACACACGCUACAAUGGUCAGUACAAAGGGCAGCGAAGCCGCGAGGUGAAGCGAAUCCCAACAAAGCUGAUCUAAGUUCGGAUUGCAGGCUGUAACUCGCCUGCAUGAAGCUGGAGUUGCUAGUAACCGCGCGUCAGCUAUAGUGCGGUGAAUACGUUCCCGGGGCUUGUACACACCGCCCGUCACGUCAUGGGAGUCGGUAACGCCUGAAGCUGGGAGUCUGGCCCUCACAGGGGGGACCCCAUCUAAGGCGGGGCUGGCAACUGGGACGAAGUCGU
rnacentral:rRNA from 1 species